rfam:Rattus norvegicus chromosome 10, whole genome shotgun sequence.
GGGGAUUUAGCUCAGUGGUAGAGCGCUUACCUAGGAAGCAUAAGGCCCUGGGUUCGGUCCCCAGCUCCG